rnacentral:rRNA from 1 species
UACAGAGGGGGCAAGCGUUGUUCGGAAUUACUGGGCGUAAAGGGCGCGUAGGCGGCCUUCUAAGUCGAACGUGAAAUCCCCGGGCUCAACCCGGGAACUGCGUCCGAUACUGGAAGGCUUGAAUCCGGGAGAGGGAUGCGGAAUUCCAGGUGUAGCGGUGAAAUGCGCAGAUAUCAGGAGGAACACCGAUGGCGAAGGCAGAUCUCUGGGCCGUAACUGACGCUGAGGAGCGAAAGCAUGGGGAGCGAACAGG